rnacentral:rRNA from 1 species
AACGAACGCUGGCGGCAUGCCUAACACAUGCAAGUCGAACGAGACCUUCGGGUCUAGUUGCUCACGGGUGCGUAACGCGGGGGAACCUGCCCGUAGGUUCGGAAUAACUCCCCUAAAGAGGUGCUAAUACCGGAUAAUGUCUUCGCACCAAUGAUUUGUCGCCUUUGGAUGGGCCCGGGUUGGUUUAGCUAGUUGGUAGGGUAAAAGCCUACCAAGGCGACGAUCCAUAGCUGGUCUGAGAGGAUGACCAGCCAGGCUGGGAGUGAGGCACGGCCCAGCUUCGUACGGGAGGAGGCGGUAGGGAAUAUUGGACAAUGGGCGAAAGCCUGAGCAAGCCAUGCCGCGUGAGUGAUGAAGGCGUUAGGGUUGUAAAGCUCUUUUGCCCGGGAUGAUAAUGACAGUAACGGGGGAAUAAGCCCCGGCUUAACUAGUG